GUUAAGCGACUAAGCGUACACGGUGGAUGCCCUGGCAGUCAGAGGCGAUGAAGGACGUGCUAAUCUGCGAUAAGCGUCGGUAAGGUGAUAUGAACCGUUAUAACCGGCGAUUUCCGAAUGGGGAAACCCAGUGUGUUUCGACACACUAUCAUUAACUGAAUCCAUAGGUUAAUGAGGCGAACCGGGGGAACUGAAACAUCUAAGUACCCCGAGGAAAAGAAAUCAACCGAGAUUCCCCCAGUAGCGGCGAGCGAACGGGGAGCAGCCCAGAGCCUGAAUCAGUGUGUGUGUUAGUGGAAGCGUCUGGAAAGGCGCGCGAUACAGGGUGACAGCCCCGUACACAAAAAUGCACAUGCUGUGAGCUCGAUGAGUAGGGCGGGACACGUGGUAUCCUGUCUGAAUAUGGGGGGACCAUCCUCCAAGGCUAAAUACUCCUGACUGACCGAUAGUGAACCAGUACCGUGAGGGAAAGGCGAAAAGAACCCCGGCGAGGGGAGUGAAAAAGAACCUGAAACCGUGUACGUACAAGCAGUGGGAGCACGCUUCGGCGUGUGACUGCGUACCUUUUGUAUAAUGGGUCAGCGACUUAUAUUCUGUAGCAAGGUUAACCGAAUAGGGGAGCCGAAGGGAAACCGAGUCUUAACUGGGCGUUAAGUUGCAGGGUAUAGACCCGAAACCCGGUGAUCUAGCCAUGGGCAGGUUGAAGGUUGGGUAACACUAACUGGAGGACCGAACCGACUAAUGUUGAAAAAUUAGCGGAUGACUUGUGGCUGGGGGUGAAAGGCCAAUCAAACCGGGAGAUAGCUGGUUCUCCCCGAAAGCUAUUUAGGUAGCGCCUCGUGAAUUCAUCUCCGGGGGUAGAGCACUGUUUCGGCAAGGGGGUCAUCCCGACUUACCAACCCGAUGCAAACUGCGAAUACCGGAGAAUGUUAUCACGGGAGACACACGGCGGGUGCUAACGUCCGUCGUGAAGAGGGAAACAACCCAGACCGCCAGCUAAGGUCCCAAAGUCAUGGUUAAGUGGGAAACGAUGUGGGAAGGCCCAGACAGCCAGGAUGUUGGCUUAGAAGCAGCCAUCAUUUAAAGAAAGCGUAAUAGCUCACUGGUCGAGUCGGCCUGCGCGGAAGAUGUAACGGGGCUAAACCAUGCACCGAAGCUGCGGCAGCGACGCUGAUGCGUUGUUGGGUA
rnacentral:rRNA from 1 species